rnacentral:lncRNA from 1 species
AACGUAAUUUUAUUAACGUAAACGACACGUCACUCGUAGUUUCUGGUUCAACUGGUAGAUCAUCGUAACAUUAUUGCAGUUUGCAAAUGCCACCUAGUAGCGUUUUUAAGAAGUCACAGAGAAGCAUCGAAGUAAAGGGCAACUAGUUUUAUCGCGUUCCGUAGUCAGGUUAAAACGUGGUAGAAAAACGAUCGGAGAAUCGAUUGCGAAAAAUAAUAUCUUGUAGAAUUAUACAUGUAUCAAGAUAGAUUGGCAAAUGGAAUAAAUAUUAUUAUGGAGGCGAAAAACACCAUCUACCGGUCAUUAAUUCUGUUCCUAUUUGGCGUGGCUCAUGGGCAGCUAGUGCGAACAAGGUGAUACGGUUCAUUCGGUGUUAAUGUACUCGACUUUCUCUCUCAUAUGUCAGUCGGUACGCGGUCACGAGUAGUCGUUCCAAACCCAUGGUCAUCCUUCGAGGACACAACCAAUAUAUCUUCUGUUUGCGCUAUUUUCAACCUUGACCUGUAUUCAACCGGCGUAAACCCAGGAUCCACAGCGAAUCGAACAAAUCCAAAACUGAAGGAGCGUGAAAACGACUUUAUCUUAUGCCGCCCUGCUCAUGCCCGUCGUUCUUUGCCGCGUGGAACGUGAAAUGAAACGAAAUGAAGGACGUGUUCCGCCGCCAAAUUGUGUCGAGGAUCCAAGAUGGAUAUCUGUCUGGCCGGUAACGUGAAUCAAAACGUGAGUUUGCUACGUAUGCACACCGAAAAUCCAGAGCCGAGACAGCCACGUCUGUCUGGUUAACAGCCUAAUAAAGAUAGCUCAUAGCUGGUUGAAGCGGUUUCGUUGGACCUCUAUUGGGAGCUCUUGAUGGGUAGACAGUACGAAAAUGCAGUCAGAGGAGAUCGAGAAAAUAUUGCGUCACCGAACUAAGUCAUUCGUUAAUAGGAAUUGCAUUCGCAUAAAAAAAUAUAGCAGUUGCGGUUGAUUGCGGUGAUCAGUCGUUUCCUCGAAAAGAAAUUCGUAACACCGAUAAACAGAGAAAGAGAUCUCGGUGACUUCAUUGAUCAUUGCAUAAGAUAGAAGAUUGAAUGGCCUGAAUCGAGAUAUUUAAUAAUUUA